CAACCAACUCUCAGUGGACAAAGACACGUUUAUUUGCACUGGGGUUGUCUUUUAGGGCCAGUGGUUGUAAGUUAGACUUUUUUUUUUUUGCAGUGAGACCAAUUUGCAUAGAAAAGGGCCAAUUCCCCCAUGAAUGCAAAAUGAAUAAAUGCAAAAUAUGUCCAAGCAGCACUAGAGCACAUACACCUGUUUUUCAGCCGCCUCUGGGGUGUAUUAAAACCUUUGCGCAGGCGUUAUGAAUUACGCAGUGUCUUUUUGUCUCAAUUGCACUGAUUUAGAUAACACAAAAGCCUCAAUCCUUUUUGUGUGUCAGGCCCUGAACUACAAAAAUAUAUAUUCAUAGAGAGAGAGAGAGAGAGAUGGAGAGAGAGAGAGCAGCAUGCAUUAGAAAACAUAAGCUGCCCUAAAAGUUACCGCUGUUUCUAUUUUUUGUAAGCAGACUUAUAGUCGACAAAGCCUAAAAUAACGUCAAAACCUUUCCAUUCCUCUGUCAUCCAUCUGCCCAGAAUGUUCAGCACCAGUUUGUGAUUUUGCCAUGCUGCAGGCCUCAGUGCAGAGGAGGGCUUUUGGUUUUAUCUCCCCUCAGCAUGAGUAGGAGGUGGGUUGAUGUCUGCUUUAUGCUCAUAUGAGGAUUCGAUGAUCCAGUGGAGGGAAUAAAAAGAUCUGGAGGUUAGAAAGCAAAACUGAAUGCAGCAUUGACAAGUGGACUCUGGAUUACAUUCCUAUAAGUCAGACAUCAUUAGAGUGAAAUCUACAAAGGGUGAACGUUCACUUAAAGGAUGAUGCCGCAUACAGUUGCAUGCGUGCAUGGACAUAAUGCAUACUGACAAAAAGAGAAACCCAGACCGCCUUAGUUGUUAUCAGUAAGUACAUGAACAUGUAUCAUACACACUUCAUAUAUGCCUUUUUGAAAGGUUUAUACUAAAUCCAGACGCAUUUAUGAUCCUUAAGUGAUCAUCUUUAGAUCUUUGCCCGUCUCUUGGAAUAAAGUGGUCUUAUAUUUCUGUAUGUUGUUUUGCCCAGAGGCUCUGAGGAUUUCAACAGCCUUUAUCUGCCUCUCUGGCCUCGGUUCUGCUGGCAUUACUCUGACUCAUGCAGCUUCCUGGUUCUCUGAUCACUGAGCUCUCAUCAUGAUUCUUUAUCUUUGGCUUCAAACAACUUCAAAGAUGGAUAUUUCACCUACUUACAAACAGCGAUGUAAAGAUGCCAAAGGUAGGUGACUUGAUUAAGAGGAUAUGUAACAUGGAGUCAUGUUGAAUUCUGUAAGUGGGAGUUUAUUGAAGCUUAUAUUAUAACACAAAGUAAUACAACAGAAGCAAGAAAAACAGAUCAAAUCUGUUCUGUGAAACAUAUAGAGCAGUUUUAAUUAAGAUCAUGUGCAGUUUCCCUGAUUGACAGAACGGCUGUUAUUAAAUCUGUGCAAAAACUGAAUGCCAAAAACGUUUAUGCUAAAAUCCUGUAGAGAAAAGAAAUUUAAAAAAAAAGGAUAUAUACUCUUUCAACUGCAAGACUUUGGAUGAUAUCUGAGACAUACACGAGGCUUUCUUGAUGUGCUCUAUUUCAGGGCAAAUACUGAUCAUAACUCCUCUCAUAUUCAGUUUUGUCCAGGGAUAUCAAAUGUCACAUAUACACAAUAUACACAUAUCUAAAAAUAUGUGUAUAUUGCCCAUUGUAAUUUCUUUUAAAAUAUGUCUGCAGCACAUUCCCAUUGUUUUCCAUUGAAGCUCUUAACACUGAAUUGACACCAGAAAUGCACUUUGUGUGGCAUUUAAACUAUGGUUUCAGUCUGUUUCAGUUCAGUUUGGGAAAAUCAGAUUUGCAGUUAGUGGUCCUAAAGCAACUAAAAUCACAUAAUAUGCAGUAACAUAUGGCACUGUAGUGGCAAACCACCAACAGCUGGAUAAAAGCAAUCUUGAUCAUCAUCAUUUAGGAGUUUAAGAGGGGGGGUCAUGAUCUCAGAGGAGAUACUUUAAAACCAUUAGGCAAAAAAAUCUCCAGGUUCUGAAGUAUUUGGCUCACCGCAAGCAGGAAACACUGAAAGCCUGUGCAUUAACAGGUGUUCAUUGCGGCACUUGAGUCACUCUUUGUACAUUAUGUGUACGUGUUAUAGCAGACCAUCAUUUGGUCAUUCUCAGAUGAGUCAACCAUCCAUAGACCCUGAACCUGCAUGCAUCUGGCAAUCUCACUUGUGCUUUCUUUGCCAGCAGCUCUCAAAACAUCCACAUAAAGCAGAUCGUCCCUUACAGUCAAUGCCCAUGUGUUGUUUCCUACAGCACCAGUUUACCAGCUGGAAAGUCCCAGUGUCUGGCGGUGACCAGCCAGUCUGGUCCUUUCAGAGCUAAUUUGUUUGCUGUGUACUGUACACGCCACACUGACACUGACAGAAACCAGGCCACAAAUAUAUAAAUAGCUGAACUAUGUCAGUAGCGUGUGUGUUAAGUUAGUGGUAAGCCUGCGAAAAAACUGAAGCAUGAUGAGUGAAUUUAUGAACAUACAUUUGUAGCAGACGCCCUUCCUCUGUAUGACAGCGGGACCACGGUUCAAUCCUUCAGUUGGUGUCACAUCUGCUUGAAAAUGUGCAGACAUGCAAGCAUGAGUUCACCUCGCAGGGAUUCAUCUCAAUCACCCAGGUGAUACCCAGAGCAGUUAGCGUAACCAAGCCCCGCUGAGUUAAACUUCACCGGCGAAGUCUGCAAACACCAUCAAGCAACCUGUCAAAAGCUAACUUUAGACCAUAUAGAAGAGGGAAGAGGUCCACAGUGAGUUGACAGAAGAAAAGCUGAAGAGGAGAUUAGGUUGACAUUUUGAGCCAGCGGGUUUGUUGAUCCAACUCCUGUUUCUAGGCAACUGUGUAUGUUUUUUAUCAAGUGAGCAAACACCUCAUUUCUAUCCAGCUGCGAUUGAAAGAGGCACAUAGGAGAAGUUCUUUGUAUAAAUUACACGCAAAUGACUAGUAUGCUUAAUAAUAACACUUAGAUCAAUUUAACCAGUUGCUCAACUUAUGCUAUAAUAAGGCAAUGAGCAAAUCUUGUGGUUUAUGAAAACAUGGGCCUGCAUAUAAUUGUAGCACCGAGAAACUGGUUCAUGUAGAAGAAAACAGCUUUGAUGAAGUAAGCUACUUUAACCAGGCUGCUGAAGCCGAGCCUGCUAGAUUUCUCUGAGGGAAAACUUGAGUGUGGUGAUACUUAAUUUAAUGUGGAAUAGGGUUCAGAAAGACAGUUGCUUGGGUGGCAUGUGUAAUUGAUCUACCGAGACAAAGACCUCAGGUUAAUACACAUGGUUAAAAGUCCUGGUGCUGCUGUGCAUCGUACCAGUAUUCAACACAGAACAAACUGUUUGUUGUAAAUUUCCUUUUUUUUUUCUGUCCAUGUGUGAAGACACUUUAAGUAAGUUUUUCUACAGGCACCUGUUCAGGCAGCCUGGGGUCCUUGGGAUUUAACCCAUUUUUUGUUUAGGGAUAGAUACGGGCAGUUUGGGGUCCUAAAAGCCUUAGCGAUUGCAGAGAUUGUGCGUUCAUUAAGAAGUAAGUAAUGUUAGCUCUGUAUAUGUUAAAUGAGUUUGUUCAACUGAGUAUGGCUCGUGAAUUAUAUCAAGUUUGUUUAUAUUUUAGUGUGUUCCUGAAGCUAAAACACUGUUUAUGUCAGUUAGACAUAGUUUUUAAUUUAUGGUUUUGUGUCUAUUUUAUUUACAGAGAUCAAUGUAAAAAUGAGUACUGUGACAAAGCUGUUAUAUUACUAAAGAGAAGAAUACAAAGGUCUAACUAAAACUGUGUGUCCUGGCUUCACUCUCUAACUGGAGUACUUAAAUGGAUGGAGUGUCCCAACAUUAUCUCACAUUAACAUAGAAGUCAUUAUCCAAUACUGUUGUUAAUGUCAAAUUAACAACUGAUUACAUUUAUUAUGUAUAAUGGUUUUGCACUCUAGUAUUGGACCUACAGAGGUUAAUCCGCCUCAUCCCUGUGCUACUGUGAAAAAUUAGGCACCUUUAAACCCAUCAUUUUGGGGCUGUGUGACAGACAGCUAUUGACGUCCAAAUAAGAGGUGUUCCCACAGACUUUGCAAGGAAAUCCUCCUAAUCCGUCACAACUUCCCGAGGGUAAAUUAUGAAACAGGAUUUGCAGUUGUUGAGGAAACUUUAGAGGUUUUCAGUUCUUUGAAUGUGGUCGUCAGAUCAGCAUGCUUACUGAAAAAAUUAUUGCUCAUUGACCAAUGAAUCAUCUUAUCCAUGGAGCUCUGUGAGUCAGCUUUGUGUGACCAAUAAGUGUGAUCUCCUUAUUCAGGGUGGGUGAAGCCAUAUAAUCAAAAGACACCCCGGGGUAUGUUAAACUUGCUUCAUAAAAUCUGCCUCUGAUUAAUCCUAAUCUGUUUAUUUUCGGUUAGAUUAAUGAAUUAAAUGUGAAAAACACUUUUUAAUCUUACUCACAGUAUUUUGUCCACUUGGAACAUCACAGAUUUUUGGAAGCUUUCCAUACAUUACAGUGAGGGUACAUUUACAAAUGAUUGUCCACAGUGCUACACUAAAAACUGCUGCGCAAACACACUCUCACUAAAUGAAGGCACUCUGUUUAAUUGACAGCAGUCAGUGAUUUGUGUUUUGUGUUGAGCAGCAUCCCGGCAAACAUCCUCCUGGCUGGCAUGAAUAAAUCUUGUAUCUCAAUCAGCAGUUCCAAGACAACAGCAAGUGGGGAGGGGGAAGAAAAAGCCAUGUAUUCCCAAAAGCUCAACGUUAUUUUGUCACCGGUUAACCGUGAAAGGAUGUCAGCCAUCGUCAGAGCAACAUGAGCGCCACACAAACAUCCCUGGCACGUUUGGGAUGUGUGCUCAUUACCCCACCUAAAACUACAAACUCAUCUCAAGGGGGAUUAGUACUAAAGGAGUGUGUGUUUUCCUUCAACUCUAGUUAACAUAAGGACACUUGCUCACUUACUUGAUUUCUCGAAUAUCUUUGAUCUUUUCGAGCCCAGCAGUUAAUCUGUGCAAUCAAACAGGAGGCGUUUCAGUGAGGACAUCUCUUACAGACAUGGAGUGCUGCCUGACUGUGUGGAAGAAAUAAAAAGGAAAACAGGCCUGCCUUAAACUUUACAAAACUUGUUAGACUCCCAGGGUUAGGGGACAAAGAUUUCCGGGAGAGUAACAGCCAAAUUGGACCGUGAUCAGGGUGUAUCCUAUUUACAGAACCUCUGAAGUCUGAAGUGAAGAUGUUGGAGCAAAAUAAGAUGUAACACCCAAGUUCACUGUGUACCAGGUUUGGGUUUAAAACAGAAUAGGAAAGAAGUCCCUGCUGUAGUAACACAAUGUGAUUAUCUGCACUCUGACAAAAUGCACAUUUGUAAAACUUAAGAUAUUAUCGUUAAAUAUAUGUAUUAAUUAUGUGUAAAAUUAUGUAUAGAAUAGGAGUUUAGGGCCAGCCAAUUGUCCUAUUCUCAUUUAAUUUAGAAUGUAAUGUAAUUUAGAAUAAGAGUAAAGUUACUGGUGAAGGUAAAAAGAGUAGUGGCUCCAAACAACUGCCUUGGGGUACACCAGAUUGUUGCUCUUUCACAUCCAAAUGGCUGCCAAUAAAAAUAGUUAGGUGUUCAGCAUGUUGAAAGUCAUUAGUUAGACUAUUGGUCUACUUUCUUAAUGACCCUUGUGUGUUUGAACAUCCCUCAUAGUUGCUUGCUUUCUCUUUCCUUUUCUCUCCUGUUGACCUGUCAACCAUUAACCACAAAUUCAAAUUCAACUUUAUUUACAAGAAAAUGCAAUUCAAAAUGCCUCAGAGACGAAAAACAACAAUAAUGACAAAAACCAACUCUUCCACCCACACACACACACAAAGACGCAUACCCACCCUCACUCACUCACUCACCCACACAUAUACACACUCACAACUGCAUGCAGUGUGAGAAUUUAAGAUAUACUGUUAACAUGGCCUGACACUGAGACGUUACAUGAGGGAAGGGCUACCUUUAGGAAACACUGGAGAUAAAAAUAAAGAUAAAAAUGGUGAAAAGAGUAAAACAUGAUGGACUAAAAUAAGAAAAUAAUAAUAACUAAUGAACAAAUAAGUAAAAGGGGUAAAAAGAAGUAAAAACCUGCGACGGGAAAUUAAGAAAAAGACGAAGAACAGAGAUAAUAAAUAGAAUGACAUAAAAUAAACAUUAAGAACUUUGAUUAAAAUGAACAUUUGCAAUAAGAGAAAUCUAAAAUGGCAAUUAGUAAAAAGCCUGGUUAAAAAAGUGAGUCUUGAGCCUCUUCUUAAAGAUAUCAACACCCUGAGCCAAUUGAGCCAAUUUUAGAUGCUACCAAGAACAAAGUUUUAUGCUUCCUUAUAAAAUGAGAGUCGUGUUAAAAAUGUCUUCAUUGUUGUUUAUCACGACUGUCAGAAACUUACACUUGGUAAAUAUUGCCAACAGGAAGAUAAAUGGUAAACUUUAUGAAUGUUUCGGACUCCCUUUUGUAGAUUUAUAUGAUCUGCAGUGAUGGGUGUGAUCGGAUUGACCUUGUUGUUGCUGUUAAGUGUAUUUAAGGCAGAAUCACAGGACAUUACAAAUACUUUCAUUAGUACUGGAACCACUCUAUUUACACUGCAUUUACACUCAUCACACACAUACCGUGUACACACUUACAGUAUGCAUCGUAUCCACAGCAGUGCUCAGAGAAUUAACAUUGUCUGUGCAAUCCAAAUUAUAAUCCAUCUCUCUUCUAAGCAACCCUUUAGAAGCAGUUUGAUAAAUGUGGGAUUUAAUACAAUAACACAUCCAACCCAAAGUCAAGUGAAAGUAAGCUUUGCCCAUUUAUAAACUUCAGUCAGGCUAUAGAGGAAGUAAUGGAGGGGAAAAUCAUUUUAAUAUGCUUUAUUCUGCUGUAAAUAAUGUGCCCUCUGAACGGGUAAUGGAGGUAAACCUUUUUCUGUAAUUUGUUAUUACUUCAUUGCUUUCAAAUUUGACUCUUUUAAACCCUCUAUAUGCCAUUAUUUCUUUCCUUUUACAAAUUUUCUGUUGUGUGAGUAUGGAUUCAGCUAACCUCAAAGUAAUGAGUAAAUUCAAUGAUACUAAAUAAAUUAUUAUGGUGAAUUGCACAGUGCUGCAAGCAAAUGUAAGUCACUGGAAAAACGACUAUGAGAUAAUUUAAAAAGUGCUGUGCUGUUAAGGCAGGUGGUUUGACAAUAAUACAAAACGGCUCAAAUUAAUGUCAGGUCCACCUCAAAAGCGAUUCGACCAGGCAGAUCAAAUGGACCCAGAUUUUUCAAAGAGGACAGCAAUUAGGAGUCUAAAGGAAACCCAUGACAAUAGCAAUCCCACGGACACAGUCUAUCUGUUGGAAUAAUAUUCUCUGUCCUCGACAGCAGCCUGAGGCAGAAUCUGAUUGCAAAAAGUCUGCCAGCUGCCCCCCUGGUCAAUAACAUAGAAAUCCUUCCUAAAGUGAAGGAGGC
rnacentral:lncRNA from 1 species